GGUAAUACGGAGGGUGCAAGCGUUAAUCGGAAUUACUGGGCGUAAAGCGCACGCAGGCGGUCGGUUAAGUCRGAUGUGAAAUCCCCGGGCUCAACCUGGGAACUGCAUUUGAAACUGGUCGGCUAGAGUCUUGUAGAGGGGGGUAGAAUUCCAGGUGUAGCGGUGAAAUGCGUAGAGAUCUGGAGGAAUACCGGUGGCGAAGGCGGCCCCCUGGACAAAGACUGACGCUCAGGUGCGAAAGCGUGGGGAGCAAACAGGAUU
rnacentral:rRNA from 1 species